CUAUACAUGCAAGUCGAGCGGACAGAUGGGAGCUUGCUCCCUGAUGUUAGCGGCGGACGGGUGAGUAACACGUGGGUAACCUGCCUGUAAGACUGGGAUAACUCCGGGAAACCGGGGCUAAUACCGGAUGCUUGAUUGAACCGCAUGGUUCAAUUAUAAAAGGUGGCUUUUAGCUACCACUUACAGAUGGACCCGCGGCGCAUUAGCUAGUUGGUGAGGUAACGGCUCACCAAGGCAACGAUGCGUAGCCGACCUGAGAGGGUGAUCGGCCACACUGGGACUGAGACACGGCCCAAACUCCUACGGGAGGCAGCAGUAGGGAAUCUUCCGCAAUGGACGAAAGUCUGACGGAGCAACGCCGCGUGAGUGAUGAAGGUUUUCGGAUCGUAAAACUCUGUUGUUAGGGAAGAACAAGUACCGUUCGAAUAGGGCGGUACCUUGACGGUACCUAACCAGAAAGCCACGGCUAACUACGUGCCAGCAGCCGCGGUAAUACGUAGGUGGCAAGCGUUGUCCGGAAUUAUUGGGCGUAAAGCGCGCGCAGGCGGUUUCUUAAGUCUGAUGUGAAAGCCCCCGGCUCAACCGGGGAGGGUCAUUGGAAACUGGGGAACUUGAGUGCAGAAGAGGAGAGUGGAAUUCCACGUGUAGCGGUGAAAUGCGUAGAGAUGUGGAGGAACACCAGUGGCGAAGGCGACUCUCUGGUCUGUAACUGACGCUGAGGCGCGAAAGCGUGGGGAGCGAACAGGAUUAGAUACCCUGGUAGUCCACGCCGUAAACGAUGAGUGCUAAGUGUUAGAGGGUUUCCGCCCUUUAGUGCUGCAGCAAACGCAUUAAGCACUCCGCCUGGGGAGUACGGUCGCAAGACUGAAACUCAAAGGAAUUGACGGGGGCCCGCACAAGCGGUGGAGCAUGUGUUUUAAUUCGAAGCAACGCGAAGAACCUUACCAGGUCUUGACAUCCUCUGACACCCCUAGAGAUAGGCUUUCCCCUUUGGGGGCAGAGUGACAGGUGGUGCAUGGUUGUCGUCAGCUCGUGUCGUGAGAUGUUGGGUUAAGUCCCGCAAC
rnacentral:rRNA from 1 species